rnacentral:rRNA from 1 species
AGAGUUUGAUUCUGGCUCAGAUUGAACGCUGGCGGCGUGCUUAACACAUGCAAGUCGAACGUGAAAGUCCUUCGGGGCGAGUAAAGUGGCGCACGGGUGAGUAACGCGUGGAUAAUCUACCCUUAAGAUGGGGAUAACGGCUGGAAACGGUCGCUAAUACCGAAUACGCUCCCGAUUUUAUCGUUGGGGGGAAAGAUGGCCUCUGCUUGCAAGCUAUCGCUUAAGGAUGAGUCCGCGUCCCAUUAGCUAGUUGGCGGGGUAACGGCCCACCAAGGCAACGAUGGGUAGCCGGUCUGAGAGGAUGACCGGCCACACUGGAACUGGAACACGGUCCAGACUCCUACGGGAGGCAGCAGUGGGGAAUAUUGCGCAAUGGGCGAAAGCCUGACGCAGCGACGCCGCGUGAGGGAUGAAGGUUCUCGGAUCGUAAACCUCUGUCAGGGGGGAAGAAACCCCCUCGUGUGAAUAAUGCGAGGGCUUGACGGUACCCCCAAAGGAAGCACCGGCUAACUCCGUGCCAGCAGCCGCGGUAAUACGGAGGGUGCAAGCGUUAAUCGGAAUCACUGGGCGUAAAGCGCACGUAGGCGGCUUGGUAAGUCAGGGGUGAAAUCCCACAGCCCAACUGUGGAACUGCCUUUGAUACUGCCAGGCUUGAGUACCGGAGAGGGUGGCGGAAUUCCAGGUGUAGGAGUGAAAUCCGUAGAUAUCUGGAGGAACACCGGUGGCGAAGGCGGCCACCUGGACGGUAACUGACGCUGAGGUGCGAAAGCGUGGGUAGCAAACAGGAUUAGAUACCCUGGUAGUCCACGCUGUAAACGAUGAUUACUAGGU